rnacentral:rRNA from 1 species
GACAGAGGAUGCAAGCGUUAUCCGGAAUGAUUGGGCGUAAAGCGUCUGUAGGUGGCUUUUUAAGUCCGCCGUCAAUCCCAGGGCUCAACCCUGGACAGGCGGUGGAAACUACCAAGCUGGAGUACGGUAGGGGCAGAGGGAAUUUCCGGUGGAGCGGUGAAAUGCGCAGAUAUCAGGAGGAACACCAAUGGCGAAGGCAGCUCGCUGGGACGGUACUGACACUGAGACGCGAAAGCGUGGGGAGCAAACAGG